rnacentral:rRNA from 1 species
GAUGAACGCUGGCGGCGUGCCUAAUACAUGCAAGUCGAGCGAACAGACGAGGAGCUUGCUCCUUUGACGUUGGCGGCGGACGGGUGAGUAACACGUGGGUAACCUACCUAUAAGACUGGGAUAACUUCGGGAAACCGGAGCUAAUACCGGAUAAUAUUUCGAACCGCAUGGUUCGAUAGUGAAAGAUGGCUCUGCUAUCACUUAUAGAUGGACCUGCGCCGUAUUAGCUAGUUGGUAAGGUAACGGCUUACCAAGGCAACGAUACGUAGCCGACCUGAGAGGGUGAUCGGCAACACUGGAACUGAGACACGGUCCAGACUCCUACGGGAGGCAGCAGUAGGGAAUCUUCCGCAAUGGGCGAAAGCCUGACGGAGCAACGCCGCGUGAGUGAUGAAGGUCUUCGGAUCGUAAAACUCUGUUAUUAGGGAAGAACAAACGUGUAAGCAACUGUGCACGUCUUGACGGUACCUAAUCAGAAAGCCACGGCUAACUACGUG